AGCUCAAAUGGUAGAGCGCUCGCUUAGCAUGCGAGAGGUAGCGGGAUCGAUGCCCGCAUCCUCCAACCUAACUUUUUCUCUGUCCCACAGGUUCUUCCUCCUCUUCCUCUCUCUCCUCCUCCUCCUCCUCCUCUUCCUCUCUCUCCUCCUAAAAUUAAACACCGACAGAUCCUCUCAGGUGUUUAAUUUGGGGGUUAAAAACACAGACUCAGGUCAACAGACAGAGUGUCUGUAGUUGGACAGUUUUCAGAUCGGGGUGAGUCAGUCUAACACCAGAUCCACAUCCGUCUGACGGACUGACAGCGCCCCCUGCUGCAGGUAACGUCUGGUUCACACUGGAAGCGCCGCGCGCGGAACGGAAGCGCCGCGCACAGAGUUUCAGAUCGGCGCCCAUGUUAACCUAUGAGACUGUUCACACAGCACGCGCGCGGAAGCGCCGCGCGCGGAACGGCUCGCGCUCUGGAGCGCGGCUGCUCCGCUUCUCUCUAUUUUUGGCGCGAGCCGCGCGCGCCGAUGUAAAGCUCAACAGAGCAGAUCGGACCAGACAGGAAGUCAGGAAGGAGAUGCGAGAGAAUCCGGUCAAUUUUCAAAAUAAAGUAAAUUUCAAUAAAUUAGAAAAAGAUUGACGGUGUUGCUUGUCGGUCUAUUUUUUUUUACCGAUGAACACACACACACACACACACACACACACACACACACACACACACACACACACACACACACGGAGGGAGAGCUGCAGAGAUUCAGUGAUGUUAUUGAGACAAAGAGGGGGGACUUUAUUACGAUACAGUCAAUAGCCUCGAGCUAACAAGGCUAUACAUACAACGGAGUCAACAGACUCCCCAAUUUAUUCGUCGUUUACCCCUAUAUAAUAAUUUAAAACAAUACUUGAAGAUGCUGUCAAUAUUUAAUUCAUGUAUGACGAAAUAAAAACGUAAAUAAAUAGUGAUUUACCCAUUUUUAAAGCGCUCGUAAGUGUGGAAAACUGAGGGCAGACGGAAACGGCCGAGCACUACCGGGCUCAGUCGAUGUCUGACCGGCAUGUCAGAGCGCAGCAGAAAGCGCUUCCUGUGUGAACAGCCAAGCGCGAGCCGGCGCUGCGCGCGCGCGCGGCGCUUCCGUUCCGCGCGCGGCGCUUCCAGUGUGAACCAGACGUAAGAGGGACCAACUGUGUGUGUGUGUGUGUGUGUGUGUGUGUGUGUGUGUGUGUGUGUGUGUGUGUGUGUGUUUAUUUUAAUUUAAUAUUUUAAAGUUUAUUUUAAUUUAAUGUUUUAAAUUUUAUUUUAAUUUAAUGUUUUAAAGUUUAUUUUAAUUUAAUGUUUUAAAUUUUAUUUUAAUUUAAUGUUUUAAAUUUUAUUUUAAUUUAAUGUUUUAAAUUUUAUUUUAAUUUAAUGUUUUAAAUUUUAUUUUAAUUUAAUAUUUUAAAGUGAGAGAAUCUCUGAGUUUAUUUCUUUAACUCUGUUGGUUCUGGAGAACUCGGACUCCAUCAGGUGGUUCUGUUCAUCUCUGAGAUUAUUAUGAAGGUCUUCGUCCUGGUCUGGAUGGACCCAGAUGUUCCUCCUAAACCUCAGCAUUAACAGAGCCUUCAUGUGGACUCUGAAGAUCCAGAUUAUUAUUGAUCUGCAGUGACUCAUUUAUUGAUCUGUGAUCUUUUUACUCGGUCCGUCUGUAAAUGUGGGUCUAUUACAGGAACAUUAGACCAUCAGAGAUACUGGAUCUGGACCAGGAGACUUCACCUCUGGACGACCCUCUAGCCCAGUGGUUGGGACCCACAUUUUCCCAUGAUCCUUCAGUCGUGACCCACUUUAAUAAAAUUCAAACCAAGAAAAUGUGAUUUUUAAUAAAAAACCUUCAAAGACUCAAA
rnacentral:lncRNA from 1 species